CCGAGUUUACAACUCCCAAACCCCUGUGAACAUACCUCUUCGUUGCCUCGGCGGGACUCGCCCCGGCGCCCCUCGGGCCCGGACCCAGGCGCCCGCCGGAGGACCCAAACUCAUGUCUCUUGCGAGUAUCUUCUGAGUGACACAAGCAAAAUAUAAUCA
rnacentral:misc_RNA from 1 species